rnacentral:rRNA from 1 species
CGGGGUGAGUAAUGUCUGGGAAACUGCCUGAUGGAGGGGGAUAACUACUGGAAGCGGUAGCUAAUACCGCAUAACGUCGCAAGACCAAAGAGGGGGACCUUCGGGCCUCUUGCCAUCGGAUGUGCCCAGAUGGGAUUAGCUAGUAGGUGGGGUAACGGCUCACCUAGGCGACGAUCCCUAGCUGGUCUGAGAGGAUGGCCAGCCACACUGGAACUGAGACACGGUCCAG